UGAGGAAUAUUGGUCAAUGGCCGGAAGGCUGAACCAGCCAAGUCGCGUGAGGGAAGACGGCCCUACGGGUUGUAAACCUCUUUGUCAGGGAGCAAACCUCUCCACGCGUGGGGAGUCGAGAGUACCUGAAGAAAAAGCAUCGGCUAACUCCGUGCC
rnacentral:rRNA from 1 species